rnacentral:lncRNA from 1 species
UCACCCAUGUGUUCUCCUCUGGGGAGAGAAAGAGCAUCUUCUGGCUGCAAGGAGUGGAGAGGAACCUCCCUAUAUGGCCUGGGUUUUCUCACAAUAAGUGGAAAGCUUUUAAAUCAAGCAUCACAGAAAAGCAAGAUCUAGCCUCCUACUUUUCUGAAUCAUGAAACAAAGUAUACAAGAGUUCUACAAUGCCAGGUGAAGAUUUAGAAAGCAGUUCUACUGCUGGUGUGCCAAGAUGUGCCUAAGGAAAUGAAGAAGGAGGAGGAGCAUCCAAGGCAGCGAAGACAGCAUGAACAAUAUCCAGCAGCUCAUAACUAUGGGAAAGCUUUAUGCAGCAGUGGACAGUUUUAUGUGAAAUUUUCGAAACAUCAGCUUGCAAGCAAGUGUUCCAUUCUCUUUGCUUACAUUGAAUUUCAGCAUUUGAAACUGAACCGUAAUCUAUAGUGAGAUAGUGAGGAUUUCUGAGUGGGAAGAAUGAACACCUCUUGAAGGCGAAAACCUACAAUUGUUUCAUCUUUGAGUCUGUUAAUAAAUUACAUUUCAGAAUUUUGCAUUAAUUUACUUAAGACUGUAAACUACUUGAAAAUAGGGACUACUUUGUUCACUUGUUCUUCUCACUAUUAUCAAUAUAUCUAAUGGGUUUUAAAUAACUCAUACGUUCCAGGCAAUGUUCUAAGACUUUAUAGAUGUAAACCUCAUCACAACCCUGUGAGAUGGGGACUGCUACUUUUUCCAUUGUAAAGAUCAGAAGAAAACAGAGGCAAAGAGUGGCUCAGGAUAUUUCCAUACAUCAUAUAAUUGGUAAAUGUUGAGACUUUAAUUUAAGCCUAUGUGGUUCAGCUUGCUGUUAAUGCUCCAAAAUUGGCCUUUCAAUGAAUUGCACUUACAAUAGCAUUUAAAAAACCUUUGAAAUGAACUUAACAAAAAAGGUGAAAAACUUGUACAGUGAAAACAAAAACACAUUGCAGAAAUACAUUUAAUAUUUACCAUUAUAUUAUUACUUCUUUACACUAUUCAGUAUAGUAACAUGCUGUACAGAUUUGUAGCCUAAGAGCAAUACGCCAUAACAACAUAGCCUAGGUGUGAAGUAGGCUAUACCAUUGUGAAUACAUACAUCUGGGGUCCCCAGCCCCUGAGCCCCUGGCCUGUUAGGAUCCAGACCACACAGAAGGAGGUGAGUGGUGGGCGAUCCAGCAUUACUGCCUGAGCUCCGCCUCAUGUCAGACCAGGAGAGGCAUUAGGUUCUCAUAGGAGCACAAACCCUAUUAUCAACUUCGUAUGUGAGGGAUCCCGCUUACGAGAAUCUAACUAAUGCCUCAUGAUCUGAGGUGGAGCAGUUUCAUCCGGAAACCAUCUCCCCCAAUCCCCAAUCCAUAGAAAAAUUGUCUUGCAUGAAACCGGUCCCUGGUGCCAAAAAUGCUGGGGAUCCCUGCACUAAAGGCCCAAUGAUGGAAACUCCUUACCAGCCAUUUCUCAGAAUAUAUCCUUAUUAUUAAGCAAGGCAUGACUGUACACACAUGUUCACACACACACACACACACACACACACACACACUGGAAUAUUAUUCAGCUUCAAAAAGAAAGUAAAUUCUGGCAUAUACUAUCACAUGUAUUAAGCUUGAG